UCGGUUCCGGUUCACGCCCCGCGGGGGCGACCCGGGGCACC
rnacentral:ncRNA from 1 species